AACGAACGCUGGCGGCAUGCCUAACACAUGCAAGUCGAACGAGACCUUCGGGUCUAGUGGCGCACGGGUGCGUAACGCGUGGGAACCUGCCCUUAGGUUCGGAAUAACUCCCCGAAAGGGGUGCUAAUACCGGAUAAUGUCUUCGGACCAAAGAUUUAUCGCCUUUGGAUGGGCCCGCGUUGGAUUAGCUAGUUGGUAGGGUAAAAGCCUACCAAGGCGACGAUCCAUAGCUGGUCUGAGAGGAUGAUCAGCCACACUGGGACUGAGACACGGCCCAGACUCCUACGGGAGGCAGCAGUGGGGAAUAUUGGACCAUGGGCGAAAGCCUGAUCCAGCAAUGCCGCGUGAGUGAUGAAGGCCUUAGGGUUGUAAAGCUCUUUUACCCGGGAUGAUAAUGACAGUACCGGGAGAAUACGCUCCGGCUAACUCCG
rnacentral:rRNA from 1 species